AUUGAACGCUGGCGGCAGGCUUAACACAUGCAAGUCGAGCGGAGUGAUGGUGCUUGCACUAUCACUUAGCGGCGGACGGGUGAGUAAUGCUUAGGAAUCUGCCAUUUAGUGGGGGACAACAUUCCGAAAGGAAUGCUAAUACCGCAUACGUCCUACGGGAGAAAGCAGGGGAUCUUCGGACCUUGCGCUAAAUGAUGAGCCUAAGUCGGAUUAGCUAGUUGGUGGGGUAAAGGCCUACCAAGGCGACGAUCUGUAGCGGGUCUGAGAGGAUGAUCCGCCACACUGGGACUGAGACACGGCCCAGACUCCUACGGGAGGCAGCAGUGGGGAAUAUUGGACAAUGGGCGGAAGCCUGAUCCAGCCAUGCCGCGUGUGUGAAGAAGGCCUUUUGGUUGUAAAGCACUUUAAGCGAGGAGGAGGCUACUAGUACUAAUACUACUGGAUAGUGGACGUUACUCGCAGAAUAAGCACCGGCUAACUCUGUGCCAGCCGCCGCCGUAAGAC
rnacentral:rRNA from 1 species